rnacentral:rRNA from 1 species
CACGUAGGGGGCAAGCGUUGUCCGGAUUUAUUGGGCGUAAAGAGCUCGUAGGCGGCUCAGUAAGUCAGGUGUGAAACCUCCAGGCUCAACCUGGAGACGCCACCUGAUACUGCUGUGGCUAGAGUCCGGUAGGGGAGCGUGGAAUUCCUGGUGUAGCGGUGAAAUGCGCAGAUAUCAGGAGGAACACCGGUGGCGAAGGCGGGUCUCUGGGCCGUAACUGACGCUGAGGAGCGAAAGCAUGGGGAGCGAACAGG